rnacentral:rRNA from 1 species
ACGCUCGACACCUACGAGAGGCAGCAGUGAGGAAUAUUGGUCAAUGGGCGCUAGCCUGAACCAGCCAAGUAGCGUGAAGGAUGAAGGCUCUAUGGGUCGUAAACUUCUUUUAUAUAAGAAUAAAGUGCAGUAUGUAUACUGUUUUGUAUGUAUUAUAUGAAUAAGGAUCGGCUAACUCCGUGCCAGCAGCCGCGGUAAUCUGAGCGGGCUGGCAAGGC